rnacentral:rRNA from 1 species
CCCUUAGAUGUUCUGGGCUGCACGCGCGCUACACUGAUGCGCUCAACGAGUUUACGACCUUGCCCGGAAGGGUUGGGUAAUCUUUUUAAAACGCAUCGUGAUGGGGAUAGAUUAUUGCAAUUAUUAAUCUUUAACGAGGAAUUCCUAGUAAGCGCAAGUCAACAGCUUGCGUUGAUUACGUCCCUGCCCUUUGUACACACCGCCCGUCGCUACUACUGAUUGGAUGUUUAAGCGAGGUUCUCGAACUGCUAGCGACUUAGCUUCGGUGAGGUCGCAGUGUGGGAAGUGAACCUAGCUUUGGUGUCUAGAGGAAGUAAAAGUCGUAACA